UACGUAGGGGGCAAGCGUUGUCCGGAUUUAUUGGGCGUAAAGAGCGUGUAGGCGGCUUUACAGGUCCGUUGUGAAAACUCGAGGCUCAACCUCGAGACGCCGAUGGAAACCAUCUAACUAGAGUCCGGAAGAGGAGAAUGGAAUUCCUGGUGUAGCGGUGAAAUGCGCAGAUAUCAGGAAGAACACCCGUGGCUAAGGCGGUUCUCUAGUACGGUACUGACGCUGAGACGCGAAAGCGUGGGGAGCGAACAGG
rnacentral:rRNA from 1 species